UAUAUCUUUAGGGUGAAUAUAAUUACGUAGUAUAGUAAUUCUUAAAUAUAUUUUUAGGGGUGAUAGGCUUAUCAAAUUUGUGGAUAACUUGAUACACAAUAAAAUUAUUAAGUAAUAAGUUAUAUUUUGAAAGUUAAGCUUCAGAAUUAUAAUUAAAUUUGAUUAAUGAUUACAUUAUAGUUUAAUAGUUAAUUUAUAAAUAACAUAAUUAUUCUUGUCGUAAUUUUAUUUUAUAUAUUGUGUUAUAUUUAUUAAGGAUUGUAUUAAUAAUGUUAAUAUAAGUAAUAUUAUUAAGUAAGUAAAAUGAACUCGGCAAUAUAUUUUUCAACUGUUUAUCAAAAACAUAACUGUAUGUAUAUUAUAUACAGCUUUUCCUGCUCAAUGAUGUUAAAUAGCCGCAGUACCCUGACUGUGCAAAGGUAGCAUAAUCAUUUGGCUCAUAAUUGGAGUCUAGUAUGAACGGAUCUUUGGAAAAUAACUUUAUUAUGCUUAUUUAUUUGAAAUUAGUUUGUAAGUGAAAAUACUUACAUUUAUAUAAAGGACGAGAAGACCCUAGAAAUUUCUUCCAUUUUGUUGGGGCGACAGAAUUACAUAAAACUAAUUUGAUUUAACGUGACGUUAUUAAAGUUCGACUAAAUUACUCUAGGGAUAACAGCAUAAUUUUAACAGUUUGUGACCUCGAUGUUGGACUAGGAUAUUAAUGGUUUAGAAGACUUUUAAGACUGCUCUGUUCGAGCU
rnacentral:rRNA from 1 species